CGGUUGAUCCUGCCGGACCCUACUGCUAUCGGGAUGGGACUAAGACAUGCUAGUUGUGCGCCUCCUAGCCAUGCUGGAGGCGCGGCACACAGCUCAGUAACACGUGGCUAACCUGCCCUUGGGACGGAAACAUCCCCGGGAAACUGGGGCCAAUGUCCGAUAGGCGAAGACCUCUGGAACGAUUCUUCACCCAAAAGACGUUUGGGGCAUGCUUCUAGACGUUGCCCAAGGAUGGGGCCGCGGCCGAUCAGGUUGUUGGUGAGGUAACGGCUCACCAAGCCUAUUACCGGUACGGGCCGUGGGAGCGGUAGCCCGGAGAUGGGCACUGAGACAAGGGCCCAGGCCCUACGGGGCGCAGCAGUCGCGAAAACUUCGCAAUAAGCGAAAGCUUGACGGGGCCAUCCCGAGUGCCAUCUGCUGAGGAUGGCUUUUACCUAGUAUAGAUAGCUGGGGGAAUAAGGAGAGGGCAAGUCUGGUGUCAGCCGCCGCGGUAAUACCAGCUCUCCGAGUUGUAGGGAUAUUUAUUGGGCCUAAAGCAUCCGUAGCCGGCUGAACAAGUCCCCUGUUAAAUCCAGCGAUUAAUCGUUGGCGUGCGGGGGANACUGCUCGGCUAGGGGGCGGGAGAGGCCGCCGGUAUUCUUGGGGUAGGGGUGAAAUCCUAUAAUCCCAGGAGGACCACCAGUGGCGAAGNNUGUCGGCUAGAACGCGCCCGACGGUGAGGGAUGAAAGCUGGGGGAGCGAACCGGAUUAGAUACCCGGGUAGUCCCAGCUGUAAACNAUGCNNNNAGGNNNUUAGGGCGGCUACNUGCCGCCCUAGUGNCGCAGGGAAGCUGUUAAGCCUGCCGCCUGGGGAGUA
rnacentral:rRNA from 1 species